AGGGUUUGAUCAUGGCUCAGGACGAACGCUGGCGGCGUGCUUGACACAUGCAAGUCUAGGAGAACAUUUCCUUCGGGAAAUUAUUAAACUGGCGAACGGGUGAGUAACACGUAGGCAACCUGCCUUGGAGAUUGGGAUAACCCCGGGAAACCGGGACUAAUACCGGAUAAUGCAGUAUUUUCUUUGGAAAAUUUUGUUAAAGCGGGCUUCGGCUCGCACUUCAAGAUGGGCCUGCGUCCGAUUAGCUUGUUGGUAAGGUAACGGCUUACCAAGGCUAUGAUCGGUAGCUGGUCUGAGAGGAUGAUCAGCCACACUGGGAUUGAGAUACGGCCCAGACUCCUACGGGAGGCAGCAGUGAGGAAUUUUGCGCAAUGGGCGAAAGCCUGACGCAGCAACGCCGCGUGAUCGAUGACGCUUCUAGGAGUGUAAAGAUCUGUCGUGAGGGAAGAAAAACUUGGAUGUAAAUAAUGUUCAGGCUUGACGGUACCUCACAAGAAAGCACCGGCUAACUUCGUGCCAGCC
rnacentral:rRNA from 1 species